GACUCUCGACAACGGAUAUCUCGGCUCUCGCAUCGAUGAAGAACGUAGCGAAAUGCGAUACUUGGUGUGAAUUGCAGAAUCCCGUGAACCAUCGAGUCUUUGAACGCAAGUUGCGCCCGAAGCCACUAGGCCGAGGGCACGCCUGCCUGGGCGUCACGC
rnacentral:rRNA from 1 species